UACGAAGGGGACUAGCGUUGUUCGGAUUUACUGGGCGUAAAGCGCGCGUAGGCGGAUCGCUAAGUCAGGGGUGAAAUCCCAGGGCUCAACCCUGGAACUGCCUUUGAUACUGACGGUCUGGAGAUCGGGAGAGGUUGGUGGAAUUCCGAGUGUAGAGGUGAAAUUCGUAGAUAUUCGGAGGAACACCUGUGGCGAAAGCGGCGCACUGGACCACAACUGACGCUGAGGCGCGAAAGCUAGGGGAGCAAACAGG
rnacentral:rRNA from 1 species